rnacentral:lncRNA from 1 species
ACUUAGGCCUUCCCACAUAUUGGUUUUUCUUGAAGAGGAGACACAACCACACCAGGGGUGAGGAGAAGAGAGACGCAGUCACUCAUUCAUUCAGGAAUGAUCUUUGAGUUGAAACUGCAGUCUCCUCUUGGCCAAAGAAACUGCAAGCUAAUUCUAAACUUAUAUGAAAAUGAAAAGGCACUUAAAUAACUUACACAACUUUGAAAGAGAAAAUCUUCCAAAUCUUCUUUGGAAGAUUCACACUUGAUUUUUGCAAGAGGUACAAUAAUGCCCCUGUAAUCAAAACAGUGUGAUAUUGUCAUAAGGACAAACAUGUCGGUCAACAAAACAAAAUAGAGUCUUGGAAAUAAACACACGUAUAUAUGGUCAAUAGAUUUUUUCAACAAAGUGCCCACAUAACUUGAUG